CCUACGGGGGGCUGCAGUGAGGAAUAUUGGUCAAUGGGCGUAAGCCUGAACCAGCCAUCCCGCGUGAAGGAAGAAGGCGCUAUGCGUCGUAAACUUCUUUUCCAGAGGAAUAAAAUUUUGUACGAGUACAGAACUGAAGGUACUUUGGGAAUAAGCAUCGGCUAACUCCGUGCCAGCAGCCGCGGUAAUACGGAGGAUGCGAGCGUUAUCCGGAUUUAUUGGGUUUAAAGGGUGCGUAGGCGGAUUAAUAAGUCAGUGGUGAAAACCUUCAGCUUAACUGGAGAACUGCCAUUGAUACUGUUAGUCUUGAGUACGGUCAAGGUAGGCGGAAUGUGUAAUGUAGCGGUGAAAUGCUUAGAUAUUACACAGAACACCGAUUGCGAAGGCAGCUUACUGGGCCAUUACUGACGCUGAUGCACGAAAGCGUGGGGAGCGAACAGGCUUAGAUACCCCUGUAGUC
rnacentral:rRNA from 1 species